CUGUUACUUAAAUGUUCUUCUGUUAACCAGCCAGAUUCUCACCAGGGGAGAGGUAUAGUGAAAACAUCUGCAAUAUGGAGUUUGAUUCACUGUGGGAAAAGGACAUUUGAGGCAAGGGAAGCCAGAUUAGGUUGUACUGUCCACCAUAAACUUCUAUAGAUCUGAGUCUCUUUAGACUGCUCUGGCCAUAUAAAGGGACCUUAAAGUGGGGACGGAGAGCAAAUCAACGCAGUGCCUUAGUAUGGAGAUGAGAAUCAAACCUUACAGUUCUCUCCCUUCAUUGCUGUCUCAGUGAAUGCAUGCACAGUAUGUGCCCGAAUUGUUUGUUGGCCACAAAGUCAAGCCGCUGAUUCAGAAAGAGAAGAAAAUGCAGCAGUGGUUCUAAAAGACGCUCCCGUUUCUUCACAAUGUUCUGCAAUAUUAGAACAAAAUCCCCAUACCACCUUGUGAAAGAAGAAGAAACAAAUGUUUCAGCAUCUUGAUAAACUUCCAUGAAUCACACUGAAUAAAAUGAAGGAAUCUGAAGAGAACUUAAUGAGGAAUGUGCAGGGAACAUGUCUGGUUCUCUAUGUAACUAGCUUGGAGAUGGUAAUGAAAAAUAAAACCAAUGCCAUU